rnacentral:rRNA from 1 species
GAUGAACGCUGGCGGCGUGCCUAAUACAUGUAAGUCGAGCGAACGGACGCGAAGCUUGCUUUUCUGAUGUUAGCGGCGGACGGGUGAAUAACACGUGGAUAACCUACCUAUAAGACUGGGAUAACUUCGGAAAACCGGAGCUAAUCCCGGAUAAUAUUUUGAACCGCAUGGUUCAAAAGUGAAAGACGGUCUUUCUGUCACUUAUAGAUGGAUCCGCGCUGCAUUAGCUGGUUGGUAAGGUAACGGCUUACAAAGGCAACGAUGCAUAGCCGAACUGAGAGGGGGAUAGGCCACCCGGGAACUGAGACAGGGUCCAGACUCCUGCGGGAGGCAGCAGUAGGGAAUCGGCCGCAAUGGGCGAGAGCCUGACGGAGCAACGCCGCGUGAGAGAUGAAGGUCUUCGGAUCGUAAAACUCGGUUAUUAGGGAAGAACAUAUGUGUAAGUAAAUGUGCACAGCUUGACGGUACCUAAUCAGAAAGCCACGGCUAACUACGUG